CACGCCGUAAACGAUGAGUACUGGGUGUAGGGGGGGUUAGAGCCCUCUGUGCCGAAGCAAACGCGUUAAGUACUCCGCCUGGGGAGUACGGCCGCAAGGCUAAAACUCAAAGGAAUUGACGGGGGCCCGCACAAGCAGCGGAGCGUGUGGUUUAAUUCGAUGCAACACGAAGAACCUUACCCAGGUUUGACAUGCACGUAGUAGUGAAGCGAAAGCGGAACGACCCUUCGGGGAGAGUGCACAGGUGC
rnacentral:rRNA from 1 species